GAUGAACGCUGGCGGCGUGCCUAAUACAUGCAAGUCGAGCGAACGGACGAGAAGCGUGCUUCUCUGAUGUUAGCGGCGGACGGGUGAGUAACACGUGGAUAACCUACCUAUAAGACUGGGAUAACUUCGGGAAACCGGAGCUAAUACCGGAUAAUAUUGUGAACCGCAUGGUUCAAAAGUGAAAGACGGUCGUGCUGUCACUUAGAGAUGGAUCCGCGCUGCAUUAGCUAGUUGGUAAGGUAACGGCUUACCAAGGCAACGAUGCAUAGCCGACCUGAGAGGGUGAUCGGCCACACUGGAACUGUGACACGGUCCGGACUCCUACGGGAGGCAGCGGUAGAGAAUCUUCCGCAAUGGGCGGAAGCCUGACGGAGCACCGCCGCGUGAGUUAUGAAGGUCUUCGGAUCGUAAAACUCUGUUAUUAGGGAAGAACAUAUAUGUAAGUAACUGUGCACAUCCUGACGGUACCUAAUCAGAAAGCCACGGCUAACUACGUG
rnacentral:rRNA from 1 species